AUAACUGGUGUCACAAUGCCAUGGACCAUCUACGAAUACUACAAACAGUGGCCUGAAUAGAAAGAUACAAGCCUGUCUAUGAAGUAAAUAAAAAUAGAAUGGAAAAGAUAGAAGGGGAUGCCAAAGCCUGCGGAUGUCUGUAGGACUACCUCGAGUCUCUGCUGGACUGAAUGCAGCAACCUCGCUAUAGUCCAAAGGCUACAGUACCGAGAUU
rnacentral:lncRNA from 1 species